rnacentral:rRNA from 1 species
GAUGAACGCUGGCGGCGUGCUUAACACAUGCAAGUCGAACGGUGAAGCAGAGCUUGCUCUGUGGAUCAGUGGCGAACGGGUGAGUAACACGUGAGCAACCUGCCCCUGACUCUGGGAUAAGCGCUGGAAACGGCGUCUAAUACUGGAUAUGAGCUGCGACCGCAUGGUCAGCAGUUGGAAAGAUUUUUCGGUCUGGGAUGGGCUCACGGCCUAUCAGCUUGUUGGUGAGGUAAUGGCUCACCAAGGCGUCGACGGGUAGCCGGCCUGAGAGGGUGACCGGCCACGCUGGGACUGAGACACGGCCCAGACUCCUACGGGAGGCAGCAGUGGGGAAUAUUGCACAAUGGGCGAAAGCCUGAUGCAGCAACGCCGCGUGAGGGAUGACGGCCUUCGGGUUGUAAACCUCUUUUAGCAGGGAAGAAGCGAAAGUGACGGUACCUGCAGAAAAAGCGCCGGCUAACUACGU